rnacentral:rRNA from 1 species
UACGGGGGGGGCAAGCGUUGUUCGGAAUUACUGGGCGUAAAGGGCGCGUAGGCGGCCUGCUAAGUCGGACGUGAAAUCCCUCGGCUCAACCGGGGAACUGCGUCCGAUACUGGCGAGGCUUGAAUCCGGGAGAGGGAUGUGGAAUUCCAGGUGUAGCGGUGAAAUGCGUAGAUAUCGGGAGGAACACCGGUGGCGAAGGCGGUUCUCUGGGCCUGACCUGACGCUGAGGAGCGAAAGCGUGGGGAGCGAACAGG